GAUGAACGCUGGCGGCGUGCCUAAUACAUGCAAGUCGAGCGAACAGACGAGGAUUGUGCUUCUCUUACGUUAGCGGCGGGCGGGUGAUUAACACGUAUAUGACCGAUCUAUAGGACUGGGAUAAGUUCGGGAGCGCUGAUCUCGUACCGGUUCAUAGGGUGAACCUCAUGGUUCUUUAGUCAACAAGCUAUCUGCUGUCACUUGGACGUGUAUCCUCGCCGCAUUAGCUAGUUGGUAAGGUAACGGCUUACCAAGGCAACGAUGCGUAGCCGACCUGAGAGGGUGAUCAGCCACACUGGAACUGAGACACGGUCCAGACUCCUACGGGAGGCAGCAGUAGGGAAUAUUCGGCAAUGGGCGAAAGCCUGACGGAGCCACGCCGCGUGAGUGAUGAAGGUCUUCGGAUCGUAAAACUCUGUUAUUAGGGAAGAACAAAUGUGUGAGUAUACCUGCACGUCUUGACGGUACCAAAAGAGAAAGCACCGGCUAACUACGUG
rnacentral:rRNA from 1 species